rnacentral:rRNA from 1 species
CCUACGGGAGGCAGCAGUGGGGAAUUUUGGACAAUGGGCGCAAGCCUGAUCCAGCAAUGCCGCGUGAGUGAAGAAGGCCUUCGGGUUGUAAAGCUCUUUUGUCAGGGAAGAAACGGUGGGGGCUAAUAUCUCCUGCUAAUGACGGUACCUGAAGAAUAAGCACCGGCUAACUACGUGCCAGCAGCCGCGGUAAUACGUAGGGUGCAAGCGUUAAUCGGAAUUACUGGGCGUAAAGCGUGCGCAGGCGGUUUUGUAAGUUUGUCGUGAAAUCCCCGGGCUCAACCUGGGAAUGGCGAUGAAGACUGCAAGGCUAGAAUCUGGCAGAGGGGGGUAGAAUUCCACGUGUAGCAGUGAAAUGCGUAGAGAUGUGGAGGAACACCGAUGGCGAAGGCAGCCCCCUGGGUCAAGAUUGACGCUCAUGCACGAAAGCGUGGGGAGCAAACAGGAUUAGAUACCCUGGUAGUCCACGCCCUAAACGAUGUCUACUAGUUGUCGGGUUUUAAUUAACUUGGUAACGCAGCUAACGCGUGAAGUAGACCGCCUGGGGAGGUACGGUCGCAGAUAAACUACGAAGAAGUAGACGCGNGAGAGUGCGAGACGACGACGAGGGAGGAGG